CCUGUUGCAUACAGAGGACGGAAAAAUAGGAAAGGAACACAUUUAAACAAAAUGUGGUGGAUACUUUCAGCAAUAUCAAAGCAAGUUAAAAAGCAUCCUGGGCUGGUACCUCUGAUUGGCUUUACUGGACUGGGAAUUACUAAUGCUACCAUCUACCUGGUGAAGCUUACUCUUUUCAACCCAGAAGUAAGUUGGGCAAAGAAGAAAGAGCCAGAGCCAUGGUAUAAAUGAGAUCCAGACCUCUAGAGAAGAGGUUAACACCAAAGGAUGUUUUGAUAAUGAGACAGAGUAUGAAAACUUUUCCAGAUUAAGGAUUGGACCAUUCCUAUCACGGUGCAGGACUGUAUAUUUACCAUAUAUCAAUGUCACUCUCUGAUUAUCUGUAGUUUGCCUCAAAAUGUUUUUAUCGUUUCGUUCCCUUCUAUGCUACAAAGGUCUGAGUGUUCUAAAGAACUGCCCAACAUUUAUUUACGGAUAUUACAUGCAGAGUAGUAAAGUUUCUUACCAGUUGCACGAUGCCUGGAGCAAUUCACGGGGGUUUAAUUAGGGAGUAAUACUUAUCAUUGUUUUCUUUAGAUAUUGCUUCUUUUUUUUUGUCCUCGAGCUUGACAUUUUGGAUAUAUCUAUAUAUAUACAGAAUAAGCUGUUUUGGAUGAGUGACAUCUCUGUGAUUAUUUUUUCAGCAACAUGUUUGAUGUGACAAUAUGAAUUGAUGUUGCCUCAAUUUUUCUGUAAUGAAAUUGUAGCAAGAAAGCCCAAACUAAUUUAGUGUGUAUCAUUUUAAUCACAUGAUAUUGUAUAGCUGGUAUACAUGGACAUGAGCAAUGUGGUGUACUAUCUAUGUGCUACCUGCAUAUGAAGCAUUAGAAGCAUUAGAAGCACCUACAUAUGAAGCAUUGUUAUUAGAUUUAACAGAAGCAUAAUAACCUCAGGACAUUAUACAUUCAUUGGACCAUUAACAUCUUCAUCAUAGAUCAUUAUUUUGCAAUUCAAAUCACUUGGACCUUAAGUACAUAAAAAAAGUAUAAACAUCUAUUCUAUUAAUUUCUAUCAAACAUAAUAAGACUGUUCUUUACACUAGAAUUGAUCACUAAUCAGAAUUGAUUAGAUACCCCCAAACGGUGCCUGAUCUGGCAAGAUUGUCUGAUUCCGAGCUCCUAGACCACCAUCUUUGGUUGGUUUCUUCAUGUACCACAUCUGAGGAAACCAGGGAACUAUCCCAAGCACACACAUUGGACACACUCAUUCUAUGCUCAGGACCUUAGGACGAUGCAGCACUUCAGCAGCACUCUGUGCAAGGUCUGCACUGUGUGUGGCCAGGCAGAGAAGAGAGGCUGUCAUCCAGACUGACAUGCACCUUUCUUUUGGAGGCUCUCAUCACCCAUGUGGUGUAAUUGGCAUGCUUUUAGGCCUGCCCACCUUUCUUGUGUUUCUUACCUCCCAGUGUUGGGAAUUAUGUAUUAUAAGGAGAUUCAAAACAAAUCCAAAACACCAACAUUGGGAAAAUUCUCACACAAAAUCAAAGCUCUGCCAUGAAAUAAGAUAUACUUCUCCACAUGAUCAGAUCUUCUUCAUCACCUGGAAGAAAAUACAUAUUCCAUUGUGUGAGAUAUAUAUUUUUUAAAUGUGCUACCAUUAAGUAAGCCCGGCAGGGAUCUAGUUUUUAGAUAUGGAGCCCGAGAGGUGGCAAGGCAACUGUCUUUUUUUAAAUCAUGCACAUGCUGAGGGGACGAAUGGGGUGACCUAUGCAACUAGAGCCAGCUGAAGGCAAUCCUUAGGGGUGUGGUCAUGCGCUGCGGCACCUGCACAACAAGAUCCUGCCCCUUUAAUAAUGGCUGCCAGUGCUAGGAGGAAGUGAGAGCUGGUAAAUUUCUCCCUAAUACAGAGCCAUAUAGGAGGAAGAGAGGACAGCCAGGAGGGAGCACAGAAUAGGAGAGCCAGCUCCUAACUUCCAACAACCUCAGCCAGCAGAAGCCACGCUCCUGUACCCAAAUGGUAGGAAACAGGACUGUGGCUAAAAAAUUUAAAUUUUGACACAUGUGUGUGCCCCCGUGUGUCUGUGUAUCUGUAUAAGUGUCAGUUUGUGUAUCUGUGCAUUUAUCUGUGUAUCUGCAUGUAUGUCAUUGUGUGCCCCUGUGUAUCUCUACGGGUAUCAGUGUACCUGUAUGAGUUUCACCGUGAGCGUCUUUGUAUCUGUCAGUGUUUCUAUCUCUAUGUGUGUUAGUGUGUGUAUCUGUGUUUAUGCAUGUGUGUAUUUGUGUGUAUGUGUAUCUGUAUCUGUGUGAGUGUGUCUGUGUAUUUGCAUAUAUGUCAAUGUGAGUCUGUGUGUCUAUGUAUCUCUAUGAGUAUCUGCAUGACUGUACCAGUGUAUCUGUAUGUGUCUCAGUGUUUGUGUCUGUAUGUGUGUCAGUGUGUGUAUCUAUGUGUCUGUGUAUCUGGAUGUGUGUCAGUGUGUGUCAGCUGACAAAACUUUGUGGGAGUUGUACAAGAGAUGAGCAUCUAUCUUUUGGACAUCCUUGCAAUAUGGGGGCUCCCAAAAAUUAUUGAACCAGGGCUCUCUCUAGUUCCACCACCAGAGAGAUCUAUUGAUUUUGAUUCACAAAGAGCAGUAACACGUGAAAUUGUAAUACAUAUGAGAUAUAAUGUGAGAUUUGCAGACUAAACUAAUUCAACAAUAAACAUUAUUUGCAGCAGAGUCUAUGAGUAUUUUGACAGUGGCACAAUUAAAGUGCAGGCUGUCACCUUUAAAUUGAGGGUGUUUUGCGUUCAUAAACCAUAAAUCAUGUACAAAUAACAGCUUAGUUAGUGUAUGUAUAGUUCUUCAAUUUUAGGAGACAAAAAGUAAUCGAACUUGGACCAUUGUGUAUUGUAUCUUAACGCAAGGAGCAUAUCAGUAAAGAUGGCUAUCAUAUUGCUAGAAAUUUAUACAAAUUGAUCAGAGACAUAGCAAAACCACUGAGUAGAACAAAAUGGACUGUGCAGUGUUAGAAUGUGGAAUUCACUGUAGCUGAUAAUGGGAAAAUACUUGUGGUUGUGAAGGUAGAAACCCUUUUCAAAUGUCAGACAGAUUAAGGAUCCUCUAAAGACUGUAUAGAAGGCAUAGACGUUUUAGAAAACAGCUCCUAUGCUAUCAUAACAUUAGAGACAUGAACACAAGUGCUAUAUUAUAGAGGUGUUACUUCAAGAUGCAGCCCAUUGGUGAACCUUAAAAGCGACCUGACAAGUUACAGUUGAAAACAAAAGAUGUUUUGGAACAAAGUAUGGAUCAACAAAAUGAAUAUUGACCUGUACCAUAGUAAUGGAACGACAAAAAUUUAUGAAAGGAAUGAAAUGCACUUGAUCCAAUGCAUACAGGGACAUGUGUUAUGGACAGUUUAGAUUGAGAUUUGUUUGAACCUUGGUAAAGAAAAAACGAAUGUGUGAUGAGAUCUAUGAAAUAUGUUGUGGGUAAUGUUAUGGGUCAUGGAUGUGUUAGAGACUAUAAAUGACUCAAUGUCAUUUAUUUUUUAUAUGGCUUCUCGCAGCAGCACCAGGAUGAACUCUGAGGCCUCCAGAAACAUUUUAUCAGCUUAGAUUUAACAAAAAAAAUCCAAGUCUAUUGGGAGGCAUGUCAUGUUUGAACAGGCCAGUAGCAUACAUGUUGCUUAAGCAUCCAGGAAAGGCUAUACAUUGACUGUGUCUGAGUAUCAAUCAUCCAACCACAUGUUAGCUGAGUCUGUGUUUUCCUCGUUGAAGACACAACUAAAGUGACCCAAAAGGAACAGGAGCUGAAGAUUACUGUAGCAUAAGUCUGGCAAACCAUCACCAAGAAA